rnacentral:rRNA from 1 species
UAAUACGUAGGGGGCAAGCGUUGUCCGGAUUUAUUGGGCGUAAAGAGCGUGUAGGCGGCCAGAUAGGUCUGGUGUGAAAACUCGAGGCUCAACCUCGAGAGGUCACUGGAAACCAUUUGGCUAGAGUCCGGAAGAGGAGAGUGGAAUUCCUGGUGUAGCGGUGAAAUGCGCAGAUAUCAGGAAGAACACCUAUGGCGAAGGCAGCUCUCUGGGACGGUACUGACGCUGAGACGCGAAAGCGUGGGGAGCAAACAGGAUUAGAUACCCUGGUAGUCCACGCUGUAAACGAUGGGUGCUAGGUGUGGGUGGUGUCGACUCCAUCCGUGCCGAAGCUAACGCAUUAAGCACCCCGCCUGGGGAGUACGGCCGCAAGGCUA